rnacentral:lncRNA from 1 species
GAAGCGGAGAGGACCAAGGCUGAAGCUACUAUCCCUUUGGUUCCUGGGAGAGAUGAGGAUUUUGUGGGUCGGGAUGAUUUUGAUGAUGCUGACCAGCUGAGGAUAGGAAAUGAUGGGAUUUUCAUGUUAACUUUUUUCAUGGCAUUCCUCUUUAACUGGAUUGGGUUUUUCCUGUCUUUUUGCCUGACCACUUCAGCUGCAGGAAGGUAUGGGGCCAUUUCAGGAUUUGGUCUCUCUCUAAUUAAAUGGAUCCUGAUUGUCAGGUUUUCCACCUAUUUCCCUGGAUAUUUUGAUGGUCAGUACUGGCUCUGGUGGGUGUUCCUUGUUUUAGGCUUUCUCCUGUUUCUCAGAGGAUUUAUCAAUUAUGCAAAAGUUCGGAAGAUGCCAGAAACUUUCUCAAAUCUCCCCAGGACCAGAGUUCUCUUUAUUUAUUAAAGAUGUUUUCUGGCAAAGGCCUUCCUGCAUUUAUGAAUUCUCUCUCAAGAAGCAAGAGAACACCUGCAGGAAGUGAAUCAAGAUGCAGAACACAGAGGAAUAAUCACCUGCUUUAAAAAAAUAAAGUACUGUUG